rnacentral:rRNA from 1 species
GCUUGCUGGGGGGAUUAGUGGCGAACGGGUGAGUAACACGUGAGUAACCUGCCCUUGACUCUGGGAUAAGCCUGGGAAACUGGGUCUAAUACCGGAUAUGACUCCUCAUCGCAUGGUGGGGGGUGGAAAGCUUUUGUGGUUUUGGAUGGACUCGCGGCCUAUCAGCUUGUUGGUGGGGUAAUGGCCUACCAAGGCGACGACGGGUAGCCGGCCUGAGAGGGUGACCGGCCACACUGGGACUGAGACACGGCCCAGACUCCUACGGGAGGCAGCAGUGGGGAAUAUUGCACAAUGGGCGAAAGCCUGAUGCAGCGACGCCGCGUGAGGGAUGACGGCCUUCGGGUUGUAAACCUCUUUCAGUAGGGAAGAAGCCGCGAGGUGACGGUACCUGCAGAAGAAGCGCCGGCUAACUACGUGCCAGCAGCCGCGGUAAUACGUAGGGCGCAAGCGUUAUCCGGAAUUAUUGGGCGUAAAGAGCUCGUAGGCGGUUUGUCGCGUCUGCUGUGAAAGACCGGGGCUCAACUCCGGUUCUGCAGUGGGUAC